AAAAAAAGUUCUACAUGUAAUUAGAAUAAAGUACUGUACCAAAUGUGGAAACAAAAUUGUAAAGGGCCUAGAAAAAGGUUCAGCAUGAAGUGUAAUACUCUUUUAGCGAAGAUCGAAAACGCAGAAGCAAUCAGGAGAAAAACUAGAAAUAUUAACUUACGGUGAGGGUGAGGGGUGAGGGGUGAGGCUGACAACAUUUAGAGACAAUGAAGUAAGGCCUGAGUAUAAAAGGACCUGGGGUGUGCCUCAAUGGCACCGAUUGCCUAGCAUCCCCAAGAAAAGGGAGCGGGGACUGGGACUAGGGGCGGGGGAGUGGAGAGGGUCAGUUCAGGUGCAUAUAAAGUUUGAUAUUUAUGUCUAGACAGGAAGAGAAAAGAUGCAUGAAAGCAGCAAAUUGCUGACAAUGAAGAAGCCAAGUGAGAAAAGGAGAUUGUCAGGAGUGGGAUUCGAACCCACGCCUCCAGGGGAGACUGCGACCUGAACGCAGCGCCUUAGACCGCUCGGCCAUCCUGACUGCGCGUCGGAGCGUGCAGCAGCCCACUUGGCAGGGACAACGUGAAGGCGCUCGCUCAUCCUUCGGUGAUUGGGUCCGGCAGCCGGGACACCCGGACUCCAGAUCGAAGCUGCGGAGCUCUCCACAGAAAAGAAGCAACCGCAGUCUACUCAGGGCCAGAAGGAAAAUAAUUGGGUCAGCUGUCGAGAGGUCUUGCGGAGGACCCAGGUGGGCCACAACCACCCGGAACCCCGGUUCCUGAGGACUUGACACCUCCGUCCUGCAGGCCCAAACACUCCAGAACACAGAGUGAAAACCACGUCCUGGGAAUCAGAAGGAAAGAGCUCACCAUUGUGCUGGCAUUCCGAGUCCACUCAUCACCCCGAGUUCCAUUAGGGGUGGAUGAGGACUGAGCUGCAAUUUGACCUUGACCCUAAAUCAUACACUAACCUCUAGCCGGACCCUGACCUUGACCCAUCGUGUUGGGCAAAAUAACACCGCCCCAAUGUAUCCAUGUGUUGAGUCGUGAAUAUGUUGCCUCAUGGGCUGGAUAUGGUUUAAGCGUGUCCCCCCAAAUGUCUGUGUGCUAGAAGCUUGGUCCCUGUUGUGGCUGUGCUGAGGUGGUAGAAGCUGUAAGAAGUAGCCCUGAUGGGGCUGGAGAGACAGCUCAGUGGUUAAGAACUGCUCCUCCAGAGGAACCCACCCCCUCUUCCGGCUUCCCUGAGCACCAGACACCCAGCAGCUUGGUGCACAGACAUAUGCAUGCAGGCAAAGCACCCACACACAUAAAAAUAAAUUAAAAAUAAAAAAAAGUAGGGUCCAAUAAGUAAGUUAAUCCAUGCAUCACAACUGCAUUCCUGCACAAAAGUGUGUGCGCCCAAGACACACAUACACACACACACACACACACACACACACACACACACACACACACACAGCAGUAGAAGGUGCUCAGAUCAUUGGAGUUGCCUUCAUCAUCAAUGUAGCUCUUGAGAUAAAGUUGGUUUUGUUUUUUUGGUUUUGUUUUGUUUUUUAAGUCUGGCCCCUCAGUUCUCUGGGCUUCCUGAUCACCGGAUCUCUCCAUCUGUCUCCUCUCUUCACCAUGAGAUCCUCACCAGAGAACUAACACAUGAUAGCACUUGAUAUUGGACCUUUGGCCUCCAAAUGAGAGUUAAAUAAACUUCAUUUUGUACCCAUUA